GAUCGACGCAGAGGGAGGAGAAGGGAGGUGGCUGCCUGAAAAACUGGUUGCACGUGAACCCAGCCCUGUCGCCGGGGGCAGAGGUGAUUUUGGAAAUAGCCCGCGAAUGGCUUAAGGACGUCCUUUGUGCCCUUAAUUCACAGUAAAUUUGAUUCAGCUGCUUUCUUGAGGCCACGCGACAGAUGAUCCACAGCUGAAGAUUUUGCUGCACUACCUUGAACACAGGGGAGAUCAUGAACAUAGUCCCCAACUAGUGUAAAUUCCACAGUUGAGUUUCCCACAUGUGGGGAAUUCGGAGGGAUCAGUACAUCUGAAGUACAAUGGAAAGCCUGGCCCUGGGAGAACCACCUUCAUGAUCAGGAUAUCUUCCC